rnacentral:rRNA from 1 species
GACGAACGCUGGCGGCGUGCUUAACACAUGCAAGUCGAACGCUGAAGCUUGGUGCUUGCACUGGGUGGAUGAGUGGCGAACGGGUGAGUAAUACGUGAGUAACCUGCCCUUGACUCUGGGAUAAGCCUGGGAAACUGGGUCUAAUACUGGAUACGACAUGCCACUGCAUGGUGGUGUGUGGAAAGGGUUUUACUGGUUUUGGAUGGGCUCACGGCCUAUCAGUUUGUUGGUGGGGUAAUGGCCUACCAAGGCGACGACGGGUAGCCGGCCUGAGAGGGUGACCGGCCACACUGGGACUGAGACACGGCCCAGACUCCUACGGGAGGCAGCAGUGGGGAAUAUUGCACAAUGGGCGGAAGCCUGAUGCAGCGACGCCGCGUGAGGGAUGACGGCCUUCGGGUUGUAAACCUCUUUCAGCACGGAAGAAGCGAGAGUGACGGUACGUGCAGAAGAAGCGCCGGCUAACUACGUG